UACGUAGGGUGCAAGCGUUGUUCGGAAUUACUGGGCGUAAAGGGUUCGUAGGUGGCUGGCUAAGUCAGACGUGAAAUCCCUCAGCUCAACUGGGGAACUGCGUCUGAGACUGGUCAGCUUGAGUGCAGGAGAGGAACGCGGAAUUCCAGGUGUAGCGGUGAAAUGCGUAGAUAUCUGGAGGAACACCGGUGGCGAAGGCGGCGUUCUGGACUGCAACUGACACUGAGGAACGAAAGCCAGGGGAGCAAACGGG
rnacentral:rRNA from 1 species